rnacentral:misc_RNA from 1 species
CACGAGAGCCUCGAGCGUUAUCCGGAAUUAUUGGGCGUAAAGGGUGUGUAGGCGGACGUAUUAGUCUCAUGUAAAAGCCUCUGGCCUAACCAGAGAUCCGCAUGGGAAACGGUACGACUAGGAGGGUGCGAGGGGUGAAUGGAACUCACGGUGUAGGGGUGAAAUCCGUUGAUAUCGUGGGGAACGCCGAAAGCGAAGGCAGUUCACUGGCGCAUACCUGACGCUGAGACACGAAAGCCAGGGUAUCGAAUGGG